CAUGCUGUUUAGCGGAUUUGAGGCCAGAGCCAGCCAUCAUAACCACAAGAUGCAUGCAAGUUUUUCUUGUGCCUUUUUGUGUUAACCUGUCGUCAGCAACAAUCUCAGGAUCAUCGCUUGCCAGAUAAACAGCAUCCCAAAUAGUGCAGUAUAGCAAACCCAGUUUGAACCAACCAAGAGCCCAAGGUAAUGUGAGGUGUAACAGUUUCACAAACAUUUAGUAUAAGAAAAGGGCACUGGGAACGCAGUUUAGCCAUGAGAAAUACCUAUGCACAUUUGAAAUCGUAUCAACACAAAAAGUGGUUGCCCAUGUAUAUGGGAGUCAAGGCAGAGAGUGGAGGGAAAACCCAGUGUCAUGCGCAGCUGCUUUCUCCGCGUGAUUAGAUGAUAACAAGUCGGACCGUGCCAGUUAGAUUUGUGGAUACCCUUUUUUCGUGCGCUGCCCCGUUCGAACAAAAUAAUCUUCCAUCUGUAAAAGAAAAGAGUUGACCGUUUGCUUUUUGACCUCAAGUUAUUAGCUAUAUUGAAAAUUGAGGAUAGGAACUGAGAUGGGCCAACGGGUGCGUAAUAGUCGUGUGGAGUUCAAUGUCCUUUGGUUAAAUAUUUUGAAAAUGCUAGACAGCCGACGACGCCAAACACCUUUGAUCUUAUAUUGGCCAUGGUAUAGAAUUAGACUCAAUGGCGACAAUCGAAGGGUGCACAGUACGUUCAACAUUUUUCGAUAAUGUUUCGGUUUAUUUUUCAAAUGAUUUAAAAAACACAUUGAAUAACAAUAGCAGACACGGAAUACCCAUUUUUCUGACUGAGAUGCGGAUCAAUCAAUCACAUGGGAAUCGUGUCGAAAAAUUGAAACAAACGAAACAAUUAAUAUCUUUCGCGAGAUUCACCGCUGUAACCACCGCCGUAACCACCGCCGUAUCCUUGGUUGUAAUAUCCUUGAUUUCCGUAGCCUCCGUAUCCUUGAUUACCAUACCCGCCGUAUUGUUGACCUAUUGGAUUCAAAAGAACACAACAAAUCAAAAACAAAUCGCGGCAAAAACAAAUACCGAAAACAAAUCAAAGAGUCAAAUAAUCCAUUUUCCAUUUGUUUCAAAUAUUACCAUAGCCUCCGCCUCCAAGGACUCCCCCCAAGAUGCCGCCGAGUUGGCGUCUCUCACGUUGGGGUGCGGCCUCGACGACGAACGCGGCCACAACGGCCAGCAGAACACAAAGACUCAACUGGAAAUGAAAAUUGGGAAAAGAAGAAAAGAUCAGCGACAUGCAGGUGACAAAUUAUCAAAUAAUCAAAUGGAUUAACGUCUUAGAAGAUAAUAUUUCUAAUAUUUAACUUGUACCAGGGCAGUGCGAUUCAUGUUGUUUGCAGAGUGUGUCGACUGAUGCCUAGCUACUCUUCCGUCCAAGUCUUUUAUACUUUUGCGGAGCAAUGCAGCAGCGGCGGAUGGCGGAUGGCGAAAUUUCAUCAUCAGAAAACAUCUACGAAGGCCCGUGAUCGCCGCCGCCGACACUAACGUACAUUAUACAAAGGCUUUCUGGAUGAGAGUUUCUUCUUCUUCUCCUAAACGUCAAGCGGAAAAAUCCAGUUUGAACAAGUGCACGAGCCCAAAAGGUAUUCAAGGUGUUACAUCAUGGCAAGGUGAAAAAUAUCGACGACGCACUAGCCAUGGAACAAAACAUCUAGACAUUUUGACUAACAUACAACUGAGUGGUGUUAUUUUUUACCUACAUGGGAAGUAAAGGGCAGAGUCAGUGGGAAAACCCAGUACCCGGUCGUGAGCUCGCUGCUUUCUACGUCAUUAACGAGUCAGCUGUAGGCUACAAUUUUAUUGGGUGCGUGUUGUUGUUGUUGUUGUUGGUUGGCAUCAAGUAGAGUAGAGUACGUACGGCCAAUGUUUUUUUCUUUGCCCUGUGAGCUAAAUAGGAGCCGGAAAAAUGAAAUGGAAAGAGGAAAAAACAGACCCGCAUCGUCAUUGUUUGCCGUUUUCUAGCGGUUUGCUGCUUGAUUGCAGUUCAUUCAAUUUUCACGGAAAAGAAUUGAGCGGUCCGUGCACAAGUCAUCGAGUUCAACAACCUUUGGAUUAUUGUGAAUAACGUGAGAUGAGCAUUUCUUUUUUUAUGAGACGUCUCGUAAUGGGUCUUCACCGCAAAGCCAUUCAUUUCCCGUUUAGUACACAUGCGAUGAGUUUUACGUCUAGUGACAAUUGCAGGAAAAUAUUUUGAUGGCGGAAAAUGUUCGAUUGCUGUUGCGCUAAUAACCUGCACCGAUGGCACAGCCAAUAAUGGCGCCAAACACCUUUUUUUUUUACAAGUGUUGCCAUUCGUUAUUGGUACUCGCUGACAUUGUUACUCGUUUGACUCUAAUAACAUUUACAACCGAAUCUUAUUUACAGCUCGUUCGAUCAGCUUGUCCAAAAACGAGCGCACUUGCAUAUAUUGCUGAUUGAUCGUCAAGUGAUUGAACAAGACUUUGUGUAUAUUACCCGUAUACUUAUUUUGGGUGAAUCGACAGGUAUUUUAUAAGAGGGGAAAUAAUCAAGUCAAUGUUACGCCGCCCAUCACAUUAUCGGCCGAGAUGGCCGGCGUGUUUACUAUUUUUUGAAGAGCAUCGAACACGGAAAUUCAAGGUGACCUUUUGCUUCGCAGCAGCCAGUCCGCUUCAUUCCGCCUGGAGCUGGUUAAUAACCACAACAACAACAAGAAGAAGAAGCAAUAACUCCAUCCACAGUAAAUGUGCUUCCUCCAUUUCGCCGCUCACGUUCUCCCAGCUUAUUUUUCUGACGCGCGUUGACUUUGGGCUAUUUCAUUUUUCAAGGGCUGUAACCUGCUCAUGUGUAGUUGUUACUAUUUCUUUUGUUCGGCGCCAAAGCUCCUCCUGUGUCCUCCAAGGCUUGAUACUGGGAUAGGCUGCUAUACUUUUAAUACGUCAAAUGGCAGACCUUGCGGGUUUUGCUGGAUGGAACGGCCAGGUAUAAAAGCCGAGGACGGAAGACCAACAACAGCACAGUCAGCCCAUUGGCACCCAACGAACAGCACGGAUUCAACCAUGUCUCGCAUCCUCUUGAUUGCCUUGUCCCUUGCCGUUUUCGUGGCUGUUUCUUACGGUCACGAAGGCCCAGCCGGACACACCCACCCUGAAGAUGCCGCUGUUGUUCCGCAGGGUGCGAAACCAGCUGCCGAAGCGGUUGCACUUAAACCGGCAACUGUAGGAGCAGCAGGAGCGGCAGGAUCGGCGGAAGGACGACCCAAGCGCCAAUUCGGACUCGGCUACUUGAUCGGAUCGGCCUUGGGAGGAGGCUACGGCUACGGCCGACCUUACGGCUACGGAGGCUACGGUGGAUAUGGUGGAUAUGGUGGAUAUGGAGGAUACGGACAUGGGCAUCACCAUCAUCACCACGGACACGGAUAUGGAUACGGAAGAUAAAUCAUUGAUCUAUGACUGCCCAACUGCCGAUGUCGACCUGUCGUAAAAACCUAUACUCAUCCGAAGACGAUUAUUCCCCCCCCCCUCCCCCCUUGCGUUACGUUUGGAUUGACAAGAUUUGACUUUUCUCUUUUGUUAUUUUCGCAUUUAACUGUUAUUCCAUCGUGUGCGUUUGUCUGUUAUUUGUUGAUUUUAAUACAUCGUACUUUCGUUUGGCUUCCAAGCAGAAACAAAACCAACAUUCAAAUUUGACGCCAAAAAUGCCAAAAUGUUUAUUUUUAUGUCUCGCGGCAACGGUGCAAACCAUUUCCAUGACAACGUCGAUCAUUCAACCAGACGGCCAGUCGCCAAACAGGUGACGUGCAUGUAACAAAUGACGGCGUGCGGCCUUGAAGGCACGGAUAUAUAAACCACGUUCUGUGGUCUAUGACGAAUAUCGACACAUCACUUUCGUGAUCGCCAGCCAACGCCACAGACGCCAUGUCUCGCAGUCACUUUUUCUUGAUCGCCCUGUCACUCGCCGUGGUGGUGGCGUAUUGUUCCGCGAUUCCGAUCGAAGUGGACGAGGUUGCUGCCAAUCCAGUAACCAUUGACGAAUCGUUAACUCCCAACGAACGACCGAAACGUCAAUUUCUUGCAGGACUCUUGAUUGGAAAAGCUCUCGGCGCUGGGUACGGUUACGGAUUGGGUCGGUCGGCUCAUUACGGAGGCUAUGGAUACCCCGGACACUACUACGGGAGACCUUACGGCUAUGGAUACGGAGGCCACCACUACUGGUAGAAAGAAGAUGGCCUAAUAUUUUUACGCACUUUGACGAAUUCCCAGUUGUCAUCGUUAUUGCCAUUAAGUAUAGACACGAUUAAUAUUAUUUUGAUGGCGUGGCACCAGCUUCACAUGCGUAUGUAUACCGUUUACUAACUUUGAUGGAAUUAUUGGACUGCAAUUCGAGUAAAUAUAAUUUUUUAUUCAUAUUUCGUAGUUAUAUCGUAAGAUUUUCAUUUCAAAUUUAACACUUUUAACAACAAGUCAGAGCUUAGUUAAGGGAGUUGUCUUGUGUAAGGCAAUUAGCAUUGCGUCACUCUUCAAAAACAACGACAAAGCAAAAAAAUAUUUUAAAAGUGAUUUGAAUGAAGGCACAGACAUCCACCAGUGUACCCGGAGACAGUUUCCCUUUUUCUUUUAACGUCAAAUUCCAUACAAGGGCAAGGUCAACAUCGUAAACAGUCAACACAUGCCGUUCAAGACUGAGAAAAACAAAUUUUUCAUCGAGGUGACCUUCGCUUUGAUGUAAUGUGAAGAAUAACAUUUUUACCGUCCAAAUUAAUGCGUGUCACAUGGCGGCGUUGGUCCGAUCCUUUGCAUUUGAUUCUCCAUCCUGUUGCCCUAGCGACACAUCGCCUGCAUGCUUAUGUUUUUGGUGUUGCAGCAGCACGGCAAGUAGACGGACGCGCCGAUACAAUCAACGGAUGCCUGCGUUCCUGUUUCACCGAGCGCGAUAGAUAGUCUGAGCAAGUUAAACUGGUUUAUUUUCCAAGAAUCAACUAACCAAACGAAAUUAUUUUUCAGCCUAUCGAGUCUACAAGGGAAAACCACAUCCAACAACACGUCGAAGAGUUUAUUUACCUUCUACCGCCUGCGGCUGCUAGAUACAAGAGACUAUGGAAAUAAGCUGCCAGCAUUUCCAUGUAUGGAUUUGGUUGGCUCGACAUAAAACAUUGAGUUAAAGUUUAAGAAAUAAUCAUUCCCAGGGAGAAGAGCCAAGAGUCAAUGGCCUUUUGUUUGAACAAUGGCCCUCAGUUUUUCCAUAUUUGUCUUUUCGGCUGACGAAUCAACCCGAGAUUCUCAUCAGGUGAAUACUUAAACAUGUACAUAUAUUUCUUUUUAAACUCUCCGCGUGACUUGGCGAGUUUGCCCGACUUGAACUGUCAAGGUCGAUGGUGUACAAGCGCCUUAUAAGCGCCGUAUAUAAAUGGAGCCCACCGUGACUCUGUCGACUUAUUCCUUUGUCAGUUUCGAUCCUCUCUAGACUUUUUCUGCGAGAUGCGUCGCCUCUCUUCGAUUGGCAUUUGCUGCGUUGUCUUGAUGGUGAUGUUGGCCGUGACUUUCGCCGACAAUGAAGCCGAUGACACUCGCCAAAAGAGACAAUUUGGCGGAGCACUUGGACUACUCAACGGAUUGGCUGCUGGUUAUGCUUACGGAUAUCCGUCGUAUGGAUUCGGACGCUAUCCUUAUUAUGGACCAUUUCCAUAUGGGCACAACACAUACCGUUACAACCCAUACCAUUAUGGCCAUCGGUUCGGCUAUGGUUGGGGAGGUUAUUAUUAAAAAGACGAGGUGUCGAUUCUAAUAAAUAUCACGGUGAAAUGAACUCUUGGAUUCUAUUAAUUGGUCUCUAUGCAAACUUCGGUAUUGGCUCAUUGUGUAUGUUCUAUAGACAAAAAUACACGAAACAUUUUUGGUAUGGUACCCUGUAUAUGUAAUAUUUUUAAUGCAAAGCAGUAAUGUUAUUUUUAAAGAUGUACAAUAUCACUAGAAUUGAAAAAUUCAAUGUUGUGUCUCAAAAAAAACUAAAUUGCGUUUUUGGGACUUGAAGUGUCAGAAGUGUCCAAUAGAUGACAUAGGUGUUCUUGUUUAUCAGGUGAUGGUGGGUUGUUGAGUUGAGUGGUUGUCAAAAGUUUUCUUUAAUUUUUCCAUGAAAGUUACCGAUGAAUUCAUCACUUCAAGUUUAUUUCUGUGCAACUUGUUUGUAAUGUGAUUUAGGCCUAUGUGUGUUGGAUCACCUUUCAUAUUUCUUAUUUAACGUGUAGGAAGGAACGCGAAAGGCAACAAGGAGCCUACUACCAUCAAUUGACAAUGACAGACAAGUAUUGUAUUCCUUAAGAAAUGCGUAACUUUUAUUUCAUAUUAUCUAUUAUUUGACAUAACAGUCCAUGGGUAAUCUUCAGGUUAAUUGCAACAACUUGGGAGAAGUCCUGUGAAAAGACGCAGGGCACAUCACCAGAUUUGUAUUUUUCUGAAUGUUCUACUCAAGUAGUAGAUUCAACAGGACUAAUUGUUUGAUGCCAAAGUUAGUUGGAAACUUGGAACCCUAACUCAAACACAGAUAACAUGUUGCGGCUGCCUUACACAGGCAGCAGGAACGAGGCUUACAGGCAGGAAAAUGAUUAUUUUCUUCACAAAAUUGUAAGUUGUAUUAUUUGUCUUGACCCUCCAUACUUGCUGUUAAUAGUAUAGAUUGUAAUGUUGAAUUAGUUAGGAGAAUGAUCCGAAAUAGCUAACUAAAGAAUUUGUGUGUUGGGAAAGCUGCUGCAGUAAUCUAGUGUCCAUCCCCACUUGAUUCAUUUCGUGCCAGCUAAUGAAGGGCGUGAUGAAUUCAAAUUUAGCUGCUGCGUGCUGUCUGCAAGCAAGCAAUCCAAUUGGCUGUCGCUAGGUGGCGCGAGUGUCUUCAGGGACCGAAUUCGGCCAUUUUGAUUCUUGACGCAGCAGAAGUGAGGUGCCGGUCGUGACGUUUCCCAAAAUGAAAAGGUGAUUUCAAUACCAAUUUGUCAAAUAAUCUAACUCGGACUUGAGUGACUGUUCAUUUUGCCGAAAUGUCGUGCCUCGUGUGUCUUGCUGCCUGUUCCCGUACGUCUCGUCCCAUGCAAAAGCAAACGUCCGCUGUUGGUUACCUUGUUGCAGCCUGAUGGUGUAAGAUGUGAUGAAGACUGAUUGAACUGUUGUAUGCAGCGUGUCCUGUGUUAUCCAGAAGUAGCUGUGCUGGCGGUCUCCUGAAGUAGCCUGAAGUUGCCAGUGAUAUCCGGGUUGCUGACUUAAAAUAUUUUUAACUGUUUUCAUUUGUGAUAUUUGCUUUGCAAGUGGUAUCUCAUGUUGAUGAACUGAAAAAUUUUUAUCCGUUUUUAUUUGUGGUUUUGCUCUGCCAGUGAUUUGCUGACUUGAAUUGGUUUUAUCUGUCGUCUUUUGCUCUUUUACUUGUGCAAUGUGCAGUAUACGAUUGUGGCAAUCUGACCCCAUGUCAGAUUUGACAUAGUCGACAACUGCUAGAUUAAAUUCCGGCUUUCUGCACCAACAAAAUAAUAACGGCACAUGUUAUUAUCGCGGUUGGGAAAGUCACAGGCCCCCC